GAGUAGUACGAGCGAGAGUCGGCGGUACUACGGAGGGUGCAAGCGGUAAGCGGAAUGACUGGGCGUAAAGCGCAGGACGGCCGUCUGUCAAGUCGGAUGGGAAAUCCCCGAGCACAACCUGGGGACAGAAUUCGGAACGGGCAGGGUGGAGUCUUGUAGAGGGGGGUAGAAUUCCAGGUGUAGCGGUGAAAUGCGUAGAGAUCUGGAGGAAUACCGGUGGCGAAGGCGGCCCCCUGGACAAAGACUGACGCUCAGGUGCGAAAGCGUGGGGAGCAAACAGGAUUAGAUACCCGAGUAGUC
rnacentral:rRNA from 1 species